CUGCUCACUUCAGCAGCACAUAUACUAAAAUUAAAAUGACACAGAGAAGAUUAGCAUGGCCCCGCACAAGGAUGACAUGCAAAUUUGUGAAGCAUUCCAUAUUUUU
ensembl:snRNA U6 U6 spliceosomal RNA